ACGAACGCUGGCGGCGCGCCUAACACAUGCAAGUCGAACGGAGCUGAGAGGAGCUUACUUUUCUUAGCUUAGUGGCGAACGGGUGAGUAACGCGUGAGUAACCUGCCCUGGAGUGGGGGACAACAGUUGGAAACGACUGCUAAUACCGCAUAAGCCCACGGCCCGGCAUCGGGCUGAGGGAAAAGGAUUUAUUCGCUUCAGGAUGGACUCGCGUCCAAUUAGCUAGUUGGUGAGGUAACGGCCCACCAAGGCGACGAUUGGUAGCCGGACUGAGAGGUUGAACGGCCACAUUGGGACUGAGACACGGCCCAGACUCCUACGGGAGGCAGCAGUGGGGGAUAUUGCACAAUGGGGGAAACCCUGAUGCAGCGACGCCGCGUGGAGGAAGAAGGUUUUCGGAUUGUAAACUCCUGUCGUUAGGGACGAUAAUGACGGUACCUAACAAGAAAGCACCGGCUAACUACGUGCCAGCAGCCGCGGUAAAACGUAGGGUGCAAGCGUUGUCCGGAAUUACUGGGUGUAAAGGGAGCGCAGGCGGACCGGCAAGUUGGAAGUGAAAACUAUGGGCUCAACCCAUAAAUUGCUUUCAAAACUGCUGGCCUUGAGUAGUGCAGAGGUAGGUGGAAUUCCCGGUGUAGCGGUGGAAUGCGUAGAUAUCGGGAGGAACACCAGUGGCGAAGGCGACCUACUGGGCACCAACUGACGCUGAGGCUCGAAAGCAUGGGUAGCAAACAGGAUUAGAUACCCUGGUAGUCCAUGCCGUAAACGAUGAUUACUAGGUGUUGGAGGAUUGACCCCUUCAGUGCCGCAGUUAACACAAUAAGUAAUCCACCUGGGGAGUACGACCGCAAGGUUGAAACUCAAAGGAAUUGACGGGGGCCCGCACAAGCAGUGGAGUAUGUGGUUUAAUUCGAAGCAACGCGAAGAACCUUACCAGGUCUUGACAUCCGAUGCAUAGUGCAGAGAUGCAUGAAGUCCUUCGGGACAUCGAGACAGGUGGUGCAUGGUUGUCGUCAGCUCGUGUCGUGAGAUGUUGGGUUAAGUCCCGCAACGAGCGCAACCCUUGUGAUAUGUUACUAACAUUGAGUUGAGGACUCAUAUCAGACUGCCGGUGAUAAACCGGAGGAAGGUGGGGAUGACGUCAAAUCAUCAUGCCCUUUAUGACCUGGGCUACACACGUACUACAAUGGCGUUUAACAAAGAGAAGCAAGACCGCGAGGUGGAGCAAAACUCAAAAACAACGUCUCAGUUCAGAUUGCAGGCUGCAACUCGCCUGCACGAAGUCGGAAUUGCUAGUAAUCGUGGAUCAGCAUGCCACGGUGAAUACGUUCCCGGGCCUUGUACACACCGCCCGUCACACCAUGAGAGUCGGUAACACCCGAAGCCGGUGGCCUAACCGCAAGGAAGGAGCUGUCUAAGGUGGGACUGAUGAUUGGGGUG
rnacentral:rRNA from 1 species